UCAGAUUCAUUCAGCGAUUUCGAAGUUCUCUCUCGAUUUCAAAGCUCGGUGAUUUAAUCUCAGAUUCGUCCGGUGAGGAGAGUGAGUACCAUCAUCUACCAAGAUAUUUGGCGGUGCGGGCUUUGCUUGUCUGCCAUUGGGACUUAUCUUUUCAUUCUUUCGGCGUCCAAAAGCUGUUAUCACUCGUUCACAGUAUAUUAAGGAAGCAACUGAACUAGGUAAGAAGGCAAGAGAAUUGAAGAAAGCAGCUGAUGCGCUUCGUCAGGAGGAAGAGAGUGGCUCAAAGGGAAGGAAGUGGCGUAAAAAUGUAAAGGCAGUAGAAAAGGAGCUGCUUCUUCUGGAAGAAGAUGUAAAGGCUUUAGAAGAGAUGUAUCCUCAAGGUGAAAAGGCGGAGACUGCAUGGGCCAUGACUGUUCUUGGAUACUUGGCCAAACUAGUGUUGGGGGUUUUAGGGUAAGUGUGAA